CUCCAAUUGACCGUCGAUAUUAGCGGACUGUUGCUCUUCCGUAACGGAAACAUCGCCCUUGGUAGUUUUUUCUAUUGUGCUUACGACAGGUGACGCCUCGGUGUCUAAAUCUAAAUGGCCGCUAAGUACAGAUUCGUUUGGUUCUUCGGUUGAAGAUUUUGACGACGGUACAGCAGCAUUAGAAUCCGUUUGAACAUUUUCGCCCUUCAUGGUUUCUCGAAGUUCCUUAUUAUCACCCUCUACAGUCUCACUCUUCAUCUCAGUUUUUAUGUUAGCCUUUUCGUCCCCGUCAGCCAAGUCAGUUUUCUCCACAGAGUUCGGUUGAGAACCCUCUAAGGGAACUCCUGUAUUAGUCUCCUCCGCAUCCGUUUGUUUGGAAUUAUUACUGCUGCUGACCUUGAACUCUCCAUCACUCUCGUUUCCCGUAAUUUCAGGUUUUGUAUUGUUGCCAUUAUUUUCUU